rnacentral:rRNA from 1 species
GAUGAACGCUAGCGGCAGGCCUAAUACAUGCAAGUCGAACGGUGUCUUCGGACAUAGUGGCGCACGGGUGCGUAACACGUAUGCAACCUACCUUACAUUGGGGGAUAGCCUUUCGAAAGGGAGAUUAAUACCGCAUAAGACAGUAGCUGGGCAUCCAGCAGCUGUUAAAGAUUUAUCGAUGUAAGCUGGGCAUGCGUCCAAUUAGCUAGUUGGUGAGGUAGCGGCUCACCAAGGCAAUGAUUGGUAGGGGAACUGAGAGGUCAAUCCCCCACCCUGGCACUGAGGUACGGGCCAGACUCCUACGGGAGGCAGCAGUAGGGAAUAUUGGGCAAUGGACGCAAGUCUGACCCAGCCAUGCCGCGUGCAGGAUGAAGGCGUUAUGCGUUGUAAACUGCUUUUAUGCAGGAAGAAACGACUCUUGCGAGAGGCAUUGACGGUACUGUAUGAAUAAGCACCGGCUAACUCCGUGCCAGCAGCCGCCGUAAAAC